rnacentral:rRNA from 1 species
AUUCACGCUGGCGGCGUGCCUCAUCCCUGCCAGUCGAGCGCACGGACGAGAAGCUUGCUUCUCUGAUGUUAGCGGCGGACGGGUGAGUAACACGUGGAUAACCUACCUAUAAGACUGGGAUAAUUUCGGGAAACCGGAGCUAAUACCGGAUAAUAUUUUGAACCGCAUGGUUCAAAAGUGAAAGACGGUCUUGCUGUCACUUAUAGAUGGAUCCGCGCUGCAUUAGCUAGUUGGUAAGGUAACGGCUUACCAAGGCAACGAUGCAUAGCCGACCUGAGAGGGUGAUCGGCCACACUGGAACUGAGACACGGUCCAGACUCCUACGGGAGGCAGCAGUAGGGAAUCUUCCGCAAUGGGCGAAAGCCUGACGGAGCAACGCCGCGUGAGUGAUGAAGGUCUUCGGAUCGUAAAACUCUGUUAUUAGGGAAGAACAUAUGUGUAAGUAACUGUGCACAUCUUGACGGUACCUAAUCAGAAAGCCGCGGCUAACUACGUG